GACAGAGGGUGCAAACGUUGCUCGGAUUUACUGGGCGUAAAGCGCGAGUAGGCGAUCUUGUAAGUCGGGUGUGAAAACCCAGGGCUCAACCCUGGCAGUGCACACGAUACUGCGAGACUGGGGUACUGAAGAGGAGAGCGGAAUUCUCGGUGUAGAGGUGAAAUUCGUAGAUAUCGGGAGGAACACCAGUGGCGAAGGCGGCUCUCUGGGCAGAUACCGACGCUGAGACGCGAAAGCUAGGGGAGCGAACAGG
rnacentral:rRNA from 1 species